GCCGUACCAUGCUGAAUAUACGCGGUUCUCGUUAGAUCACCGAAGUCAAGCAUCAUUGGGCGCGGUCAGUACUUGGGUGGGUGACCACCUGGGAACACCGCGUGCCGU